UACGAAGGGGGCUAGCGUUGCUCGGAAUCACUGGGCGUAAAGCGCACGUAGGCGGCUUUUUAAGUCAGAGGUGAAAUCCUGGAGCUCAACUCCAGAACUGCCUUUGAUACUGGGGAUCUCGAGUCCGGAAGAGGUGAGUGGAACUCCGAGUGUAGAGGUGAAAUUCGUAGAUAUUCGGAAGAACACCAGUGGCGAAGGCGGCUCACUGGUCCGGUACUGACGCUGAGGUGCGAAAGCGUGGGGAGCAAACAGG
rnacentral:rRNA from 1 species